AUACUUACCUGGCAAGGGAGAUACCGUGAUCAAGAAGGCGGUUCACCCAGGGCGAGGCUCAGCCAUUGCACUCCGGCUGUGCUGACCCCUGCGAAUUUCCCAAAG
rnacentral:snRNA from 8 species